GCCCUCGCUUUAAACAUAACCUCAGUGGGGUAGGAAUACCCGCCAGACUUAAGCAUAUUAAUCAGCGGAGGAAAAGAAACUAACAAGGAUUCCCCCAGUAACUGCGAGUGAAGAGGGAACAGCUCAACGUGUGAAUCUGGCUUGGAGUAACCCCUCGUCAGAGUUGUGCACUGUAGACGUCGGUUUCUGCGCUUGAAUUCCAGUUGUCAGUCCCAAGUCGGAUGAAACACCGCAUCACAGAAGGUCAUAGUCCUGUGUCUGACUGUGCUUGAAUUUGCGCCAAUGACCGCACGUUCGUCGAGUCGCGUAGUUUUGUAAUGCUGCGCCAAUUGGGAGGUGGAACCCUUCUAAAGCUAAAUAUGAUGACGUGACCGAUAGCAAACAAGUACCGCGAGGGAAAGGUGAAAAGCAACCAUGUAGAAUGCGUUGAAACAGCAGUGAAAGUGCCGCUGGGAUAAGGGCUAUUGACUGCUCGUCUUUUGGGGGCGUGCUUUAGUGCUGCCCCGGGAGCGGCCUGCGCCGAUUGGAGCCGAGAGACAAGCUCGGGUUGAAUUCGGCCGACAGC
rnacentral:rRNA from 1 species